rnacentral:rRNA from 1 species
GAAGUAAAGUCGUAACAAGGUUUCCGUAGGUGAACCUGCGGAAGGAUCAUUACAGUAGUCGCCCGGGUUGCCGCAAGGCCUCCCGGGCAACCUACCACCCUUUGUUUAUUACACUUUGUUGCUUUGGCAGGCCUGCCCUCGGGCUGCUGGCUCCGGCCGGCGAGCGUCUGCCAGAGGACCUAAACUCUGUUUGUCUAUACUGUCUGAGUACUAUAUAAUAGUUAAAACUUUCAACAACGGAUCUCUUGGUUCUGGCAUCGAUGAAGAACGCAGCGAAAUGCGAUAAGUAAUGUGAAUUGCAGAAUUCAGUGAAUCAUCGAAUCUUUGAACGCACAUUGCGCCCCCUGGUAUUCCGGGGGGCAUGCCUGUCCGAGCGUCAUUACAACCCUCAAGCUCAGCUUGGUGUUGGGCCCCGCCGCCCCGGCGGGCCCUAAAGUCAGUGGCGGUGCCGUCCGGCUCCGAGCGUAGUAAUUCUUCUCGCUCUGGAGGCCCGGUCGUGUGCUCGCCAGCAACCCCCAAUUUUUUUCAGGUUGACCUCGGAUCAGGUAGGGAUACCCGCUGAACUUAAGC